CCUACGGGUGGCUGCAGUGAGGAAUAUUGGUCAAUGGACGCAAGUCUGAACCAGCCAUGCCGCGUGCAGGAAGACGGCUCUAUGAGUUGUAGACUGCUUUUUUACGAGGGUAAACGCAGAUACGCGUAUCUUUCUGAAAGUAUCGUAAGAAUAAGGAUCGGCUAACUCCGUGCCAGCAGCCGCGGUAAUACGGAGGAUUCAAGCGUUAUCCGGAUUUAUUGGGUUUAAAGGGUGCGUAGGCGGUCGGAUAAGUUAGAGGUGAAAUCCCGGGGCUCAACUUCGGAAUUGCCUCUGAUACUGGUCGGCUUGAGAGUAGUUGAGGCAGGCGGAAUGUAUGGUGUAGCGGUGAAAUGCUUAGAGAUCAUACAGAACACCGAUUGCGAAGGCAGCUUACCAAGCUACUUCUGACGUUGAGGCACGAAAGCGUGGGGAGCAAACAGGAUUAGAUACCCCAGUAGUC
rnacentral:rRNA from 1 species